GUACACAGAAGUAGUAAUUGAGGUAGUGGAGCCAAAUUCAAUUCAUAACCAAACUGACAGAAUGUUUUUAGAUACUGCAGUAUAAUAGUGUGAUGAUAAAAUGCCAGAACUGUGUCUGUUUGUUGCCACUUUGGAGAUAAAAGAGAACUAUAUCACUAAUAGUCAGGUAUUGCAUAGACAAUUAGCAAUAUAAGAUCUGUGUAAGGUUUUCCUCUCUCAAUUCUUUUUAAUGUUGCCUGUCACUAAACCUUAUGUUGUCCAAGACACAUUUAACAAAUUUUCCUCAGAUCUAUUGCUGCUUGGAUUCCUCUGAAGUUUUUAUUAAGCUUUACUGAUAACUUCUGUCAAACCAGAUCAACUUUUUUUUUUAG
rnacentral:misc_RNA from 1 species